rnacentral:lncRNA from 13 species
AUGUGUGUGUCAAAGCUCCUGAGUACUUCUUCUUUCCCAGCUAGGAGCCUCUUUGCCUUGCUGAGCUCUCGAAUCUUCUGUCUCUGCACAACAGAUUUCUGGAAAGACAAUGUCUUGGUACAGCACCCCCAGCCUUCCACCAAGGGAUUCCAGCAGAUGUUCACUCCCAGCUCAGCUUGGAUAGGACCACCAGGGACCCUGCCUUUGGUCUCCACAGUCACUUCCUGGGUGGUCUCAAAUAGUCAAGAUGCCCUGCUGGGAGGAGCUUCUAUUCCUGCUCUGUGGAAGAACUGGGCAUGCCAGAUGCCCAGAAGGGAACACUCUGAAACUAAGGCUAUGGUUAUAAGGAACUCAGAAUCACCAUCCCCCAGUAUGGUUCCAUUUCCAAACAAGUUCAAGAAACAGAAUCCAGGCAAGUAGCAUGUGAACAAUGCCAAAAGAUGCAACCAAUACAGUGAAACUUUGUAGUGUUAGAGAGAUGAAGGAGGUUGGAAAUUACCCUCUUAAGUUCGUUCUUUCAUUGUUAUUUAUUUUUAAAGUACUGCUUGUGCAGAACCCAAGGACAGCUACACAUUUACUGCAUAUUUAUAUUUACUGCCUCCUGAGACAUUAAAUGUAAACGGCUGCAGCAGGGUCUUGGUAACUGUCCAGCGGAAGCACAAAUUAGAAAAAAUACAAAAUAAGCUUCCCUGAGCCCAUGAAUUCACCAUAUCAUGAAUAUGUAAGAUACAUUAAUUAGUUCAUUAAUAGGCUCCAAGACAUUGCAGAUGCUGGGUGUGUGGGCAGGCACCACUGACGCAAAAGUUAAUGUGUGUGGGACACUUUGCCAAACUCUGGGGCCUGUGUGGGUUGAGGCACAUAUGUUGGGGCCUCCAUCAGGGCUGGUUGGAGGCCUGGGCAGGACACAGUGGUCUGGGGCUGAGGAGUACAACAUACAGCUCCACAGGGGCCUCGGAUUUUAGCAUGUGUGCAGGUUAGUAUAUUUGGGCAGUGUGUGUCUGCUCUUAGAGUCUUCCACAGAUGAUAACCUGGAGUCCCCAAGGAAUAGGGUGAUGCCAGCAUGGAGGAGCCAAAAAUGCUAAUCUGCCUUCAAAAUUCAGCAUACACUGGGGAUAUCAUGAUUCUAAGCAGAAGAGCUAAAAGAAAUGCAGUUCAUCCAGGCAUGGAGUUCAAGUGCCUUGUCCCAGGACCCAUGUAGCAUUGACACUUUCCUGAGCUCCUUUAAGUGAUGCAAUUAUCAAGCCUCUUUUGAAGAUCUUUUUAAAAUACCUUUUCUUCUUGCAUUUUUUAAGGAAACAUAAGCUCUUGGGCGAACUGUUUUAUAACAGCAACAUUUGCUGUAAGGAGGUGCUCAUAUUCUCUUAGUGUAAUAACACCAAGAAGCUGAAAGGAGUGAGAGAUCUCUGUGAGGGAAAUGGCUUCACAAUAUGCUCCUCAGGCUGCCAUAGAUCUGACAUCCCAGAAACAUUUGGAAGACAGAAUGGAGUUAGAUUCCAUAACUCAGGCUAUGUGGCCUACCUGCUGGGGAUGCUAUGGUCUUCCCUGCCUCCGCUCACCAAGUUGUGGCAGAAGAGCCCCUUCUCAAUUGUUCUGGGUCUGAUUAACCUUGGUAUGUUAGAAGGCAAGGGGUUAUCGAAGGCCAGGAUGUUCUUUGCUGUCUCUCAUCAUGCUGUAGUUGUUGAAGACUGGAUUACCAACCGAGAUUUCAGACAGGUUACAGAAUGUCCUUUCUGGUUCUCCAAUGGAGUCUCUUACUUGAUGGGUAGCUGAGAAAGAAGGAGGCAAGGGGGCUUUAGUUCUUCUAGAAAUCUUGAUUCUUCAGAGUUGAUUGAUUCAUCUCUUUCCUGGAGUCAGGGACAGGCAAAUUCGCAAUUUUACUCAAUGCUGACAAAUUCCAAUAGAGGUAAAUAGCUCAAAACUGGCCGGUACUCUGAGCUAGGACCUGAUGAAGGAAAGAGAUACAGAAGGAAAACAGUGUCCUACCACAAAGCAGCAAAGACACAUUGCCUUGGUGUCAACACACUUAUAUUUCAAGCUUGGUUCUGCCAUUUACGAUAAGUGACUUACUGCUAAUUGUUAACUUCUCUGAGUCUCAAUUUGCUCAUCUAUAAAAACAAUGCCUGCUCCUCAGUGUUGCAGCGAGGGCUUACUAUGCAGUGAGCAGCAGGCAGCUAGACAUAGUAGGUGGUAGGUGCAAAGUAGCUGCUGUUGGGAUGCUUAGGUUUCACUGUUUCAGCACUCAUCUAGAACUGAUACGCUGUUAGAUCUAUUUGACCAUCCUGUGAACAAAAGAUAAAUUGCUUCCUAGGAGUAUUUUAUUUUUCUAAGCCAAACACUUGGUGCAUAGGAACCUACCACUUGCAUUUAGUUUUCUUAUUUUGCAUAAAAAUAAACUGAAAAACCGGUGCUUUUUGUGGCCA